rnacentral:misc_RNA from 1 species
UCGAAUUCUGAGGGGGCGGGGGAGGGGCAAGAUGGCAGGGGAAGGGUCGAGACUGUCGCUGGCCUCACUGGGCAUGUGCACGUCCGUCCGCUUUUCUGUACACUUUCCUUACACACAACCCACACCUGUGCACCUAUUGUAGACCCCCUCGAAAGAGGGAUCUAUGUUUUCCAAUCACACCUAUCGUAUGUCCAUAGAAUGAAUUAUAAUUAUUA